UACCAGCACCCCGAGUGGUCGGGACGAUUAUUGGGCCUAAAGCAUCCGUAGCCGGUUCUACAAGUCUUCCGUUAAAUCCACCUGCUUAACAGAUGGGCUGCGGAGGAUACUAUAGAGCUAGGAGGCGGGAGAGGCAAGCGGUACUUAGUGGGUAGGGGUAAAAUCCGUUGAUCCAUUGAAGACCACCAGUGGCGAAGGCGGCUUGCCAGAGCGCACUCGACGGUGAGGGAUGAAAGCUGGGGGAGCAAACCGG
rnacentral:rRNA from 1 species